AAGGGCUGCAGCGCUGUGAUCCACGCCAGGAACAGUGCUGGGGGCUGUGGGGCCCGGAGCUGCACCCACCUGGAAGAGCCCAGCACAUGGUGCAGGGAACGUCAGAGCAGAUGGCUUUCCUUCUGAGUCGGGACACAAUAAAAGGGCAGAAGAAGCUUGAAGGCAUGCGCACAAAGAAGUUCCCCAUAGGUCUUUAACAAGAAAGAAGAAAAAAAAGAUGUCAGCUGGAUUGUUACAACAGAACGUGAAACAGCGACCUGACAGCCGGUGUUGCAUAGUUACCCCGAGUGUGCAGCGACGGCCCCGCGCGUCUCACCUGCCCUCCUGCCCCACAAAGGCACACAUCACAGCACCUUGGAAAUCAGAGGCACAAACUGGGUUUUGUUUUACAAAUAGGGCUGUGCGGUACUGUGUUUUAUUAGUUAAAAAGAAUCUGUAAAACAGAGGAUUACGUGUUUGGAAAUGAUAUAGCUACAGGUUUGUGGUUUUGUUUGAUUUUUUUUUUUUUUUUUUUUGUUACACUGACAUUUCCAAAGCUGCAACAUCAGUACACACCGCUGUCCUUUCCAUAUGUUGUCCCCGACCAGUCUCAUCAUGUGAUAAAGUGACCGCUUCCGCUGAUAGCCCCAUUUCUCCAGGUGUUGAGUUUCUUCCAUGUAUGACUUUGCUGCUUAAGAAAGACUGAAGGGCCGAACAACAAAUUACUCCUUCGAAGCCACCUCGAUGAACACAGCACGUUGCUGCCAUCCUCCCUCGGCGGCAAACAAAUAUUCCAUGCACAGCCCUAGGUUUACAAACGGCCAUUUAAUCGUAACGCUUCGGCUGAGUUUCAAGGAUCGAUGGCAUUCUGCCUUACAGCUUAAUUUAAAAAUACCCAUACAGGCAAAAAACCUUUGUGAACCCAACAUAAAACGGACAACGGAACUUCAGGUCAGGCAGCAUUGCUUUUGCUGGACUGAACGAUCAACUGGAAAAGACCCCUUAAUGCUUCUCUGAUACCCAGGAGUGCAGCUGAGAACCAUUAACUGCACUUGGAAAUACGUGAGAGAUUUAGGAAAACCUUCUUCCCCCCUAUCUCAAUUUUUUGAGAUCUUGUAUUUAUAUAAUACAAUCAAAUACCCGUAUUGCAAAUCUUGCAGACAUUCCACUCAUUUCUCUGGCUUUGUGGAGAGAACUAUAUUGCUUUGUUAGAUUCUAGAUGCUUUCAAUAUACAGUGCAUGGAUAUUCGUGCUAACUUAAAACGUGGAUUUUUACGUACGACAACAGCAUCAAAAUAAACAAAUGUGAUGGUUUGAUCCCUUUGCCCUAAAUUGAAUAGCCAGGAAAGCUCUGAACACUCCAAGUUUUAUUUCAAUGGGAAUGAAUUAAAAAAAAAAAACAGCAAACGAAAAAGCCCCCAAUCUACAACAAGACCGACAAACCUACAGCAGACAUUACAGAAAAGAAUCCUAAAAUGCUAGCAGAGAUCAAAACUGCUGCUAGGUUUCACCCCUCUGUAUUGUCACCAAGUAUCACUUUAAUGCUUUACUCAGUUAAAAUAAGGUUGUUUUUUUUUUUUUUGUCUGGAAAUUUGUGCAUUUCAAGAGCUGAACUAAACAAUACAGAACGAGUGGAGCUGUACAGAGCGUCAUCGGAACCGCUCAUCCAGAACCUGGAACAGAAGUUCAGUUGUCCAUUAUAUGCAGAUUUGAAAACAAUACAAGACACUUGAAUAAUCAACAUUCAUUCACAGACUUAAGGCAACUGGUUCAUGAAAUUGCUGCUUUCGUAAAUGCAAACUAACGACAUGUUCAUCUCACAUGUAACAGGUUACAACCGUAAAACGGGGACGCCUCGGGGGGUUACUCAUCGUCUCAUCGGAAGGUUGUUUGGUCUAAUGCUAGUGAGAAAGUCUUUGAAUAUUUUCAGCCAUUCCUACCAUACCUGCACAACUAACUACGACCUGAAUACUUCCCUGCAAACUGCAUCUGCAACACAGGAGCUACAAGCACAGUUGAAAAUACUGCUCAGACAACAAACUUUUUGGCAGCUUACAGUUUCAUUACUCUGAACUCAAAUACAAAAUUAAACAAUCUCAAACUGAAAGUCAACGUUAAUGGACUAACCAGAAUCCAUAUGUUGGUUUGUUGUUUUUUUUUCCCAAGCAACGUAUGCUUUUGCUGUUGUUGCUGUUUUUUGUACGUUUAAGUGUCAGCUUUGUCUUCUGUUGUGGCACAGAGUCAUACAGUACUAAGGUAAUGCCAACUGGUGAGGAAACAAAACGGUGACGCCGCACAGACUCACAAGUGUCCCUGGGCUGCCUCCAUCACCCCCACUGCGAGGGCCAGGUCAUCCCCCAGCUCACACUGCACCCACACCAACCUACUCACUGCCUGUGUAGGCUGGCCUGCCCUUCUAUGAAUGAAUUCCUUAAGCUGCUUCACCAAUGGGUUAGACAAGGAUGAUGAGUCCAUCGCUUUUUCUUUUUUUUUCCCCAAGUCUGUCAAGACUUUUCAAGAAGAAAGGGAAAGGCAAAGGGGGAUCCGCUGUUCAGAAUUUAGCACUAUGCUAAUUAGAAGCACCAACUCCUCUCAUUUGGUUUUCUUUGAUGGCAACCAAAUAUAGCUGCAAAUUUUACGUUUGUAGAUUUCAGGUGUGGAAAAUAAUUAAAAGGUGACGCUGGAAAGGAAAACAAAUAAGUGCAUUUUCCUUCAAAGGGUUUAAAAUAGUUUCAAAGUUAUUCCAGUGUACCGAUGACACUUGAGAAGAACAGCUGCUAAGCAGAAUUCCAGCUUCAGAGAUGAGAUUUAGUCAGCCCCAAAGCAGAGGACCACUCUGGAGACAAUCUAGGCUGGUUAUUCUGCCCUUCUGGAAAGACCUGACAUAGCUCCCUGCCUGUACAUUACACCUUGGAAAAGAAGAAAUACAAA
rnacentral:lncRNA from 1 species